rnacentral:rRNA from 1 species
ACGCGAGCUGGGUUCAGAACGUCGUGAGACAGUUCGGUCCCUAUCCGUCGCAGGCGUAGGAAAUUUGAGAAGACCUGUCCUUAGUACGAGAGGACCGGGAUGGACGUACCUCUGGUGUACCAGUUGUCCUGCCAAGGGCAUGGCUGGGUAGCUAUGUACGGAAUGGAUAAGCGCUGAAAGCAUCUAAGCGCGAAGCCAACUUCAAGAUAAGAUUUCCCACCGCAAGGGUAAGACCCCAGAAAGACUAUCUGGUUGAUAGGUCGAAGGUGUAAGUGCAGUAAUGUAUUUAGCUUAUCGAUACUAAUAGGUCGAGGACUUGACCAA